GAUGAAGAACGCAGCGAAAUGCGAUAAGUAAUGUGAAUUGCAGAAUUCAGUGAAUCAUUGAAUCUUUGAACGCACAUUGCGCCCCUUGGUAUUCCGAGGGGCAUGCCUGUUCGAGCGUCAUUAUAACCCCUCAAGCUCAGCUUGGUGUUGGGGCCUGCUGCACUGGCAGCCCUUAAAAUCAGUGGCGGCGCCAUCUGGCUCUAAGCGUAGUAAUUCUUCUCGCUAUGGAGUCCUGGUGGAUGCUUGCCAUCAACCCCCAAUUUUUCUAUGGUUGACCUCGGAUCAGGUAGGGAUACCCGCUGAACUUAAGCAUAUCAAUAAGCGGAGGA
rnacentral:misc_RNA from 1 species